rnacentral:rRNA from 1 species
GGACUACUAGGGUAUCUAAUCCUGUUUGCUACCCACGCUUUCGUGUUUCAGCGUCAGUAACGGUCCAGAGAGCCGUCUGCACCACCGGUAUUCCUCCUGAUAUCUACGCAUUUCACCGCUACACCAGGAAUUCUACUCUCCCAUCCCGUACUCUAGCCUUCCAGUUUUCGGCGCACCCUCCCGGUUGAGCCGGGAGAUUUCACACCAAACUUAGAGAGCCGCCUACACACCCUUUACGCCCAGUAACUCCGAACAACGCUCGCUGCCUACGUAUUACCGCGGCUGCUGGCAC